GAUGAACGCUGGCGGCGUGCCUAAUACAUGCAAGUCGAGCGAACGGACGAGAAGCUUGCUUCUCUGAUGUUAGCGGCGGACGGGUGAGUAACACGUGGAUAACCUACCUACAAGACUGGGAUAACUUCGGGAAACCGGAGCUAAUACCGGAUGAUAUUUUGAACCGCAUGGUUCAAAAGUGAAAGACGGUCUUGCUGUCACUUAUAGAUGGAUCCGCGCUGCAUUAGCUAGUUGGUAAGGUAAUGGCUUACCAAGGCAACGAUGCAUAGCCGACCUGAGAGGGUGAUCGGCCACACUGGAACUGAGACACGGUCCAGACUCCUACGGGAGGCAGCAGUAGGGAAUCUUCCGCAAUGGGCGAAAGCCUGACGGAGCAACGCCGCGUGAGUGAUGAAGGUCUUCGGAUCGUAAAACUCUGUUAUUAGGGAAGAACAUAUGUGUAAGUAACUGUGCACAUCUUGACGGUACCUAAUCAGAAAGCCACGGCUAACUACGUG
rnacentral:rRNA from 1 species